rnacentral:lncRNA from 1 species
UAUUUAUUCCAUAAUGCGACUUUUCAGCAGAAUGACUUUGUCUGUCAAUCAAGAAAGACAGGGCGGAGCCAGUUGUGUGAUUGGUUGCUCCUUUCCUCAGACAUAAGUAAUAGCACGUGAAGUGUCGAUUUAGGUGUAAUGGUGCAGUGCGUCUCCUACGCAGACGGCGGCAGUGUGCAGCUCGAAAUAAAGUUAAGGCACGACAAGUGUAAAACACUGGGCGCGAAGAACGUUACAGGUGUAUCAAUGCUUGUGAAGGGCAUGGCUGCAGGAGACAAGUCCGUUUCUGAGUUACUCAGAGAAGUUGCUAACCGCUUAGAUUGUACGUCUUCACCUCAGUCUGAGAGAGUGUUGCAGCAGCGUACUGGAGAUGAAGCGGUCCCUGGUCCAAGUUCUCAUCAAAACAGCACAGUUUUAACGUUAGCAAAUGCUAACGCUAUCACAGCUAGCUCCACUCCACAAAACGCUGUUCAGGGUCAUAACACGAACAAGCCGUCAAGUCAAGCAGCUGAGGAAAGGGCUUAAGGAGACCAUGGUAUGGCCGCUUCUGACAGAAAGAUCAGACAUCAUUCCUCUUUUCUUACCAAGGGAAUCAGAGACUGCUCCCUGUUGUAAGGUCAGGUCACAUUUUAUAACAUCUGAACAGUAAAGGUAUUUGGUUAAUUUAUGAAGGAUGCACAUUAAUUGUUGACACAAAACAUCAAUAUAUCUGCUCUUGCUCUUGACGAAGGCGGUCGCACUUUUCUCCUCUCCUCCUCUCCCUUAUCUUCCCUGCUUAGCCUCUUGUGUCCUUGUCUAGUCUCGUGGGUUUUUUUGUAUUACUUUUCCCUGGAACACUCUCUCACAGUCUGUUCUCUAAAACCUAAAAGAGGAAUUAUGGAUUGGAUCAACUGGUCCCUGAAUGCAAUUGACACCCCUUUCUCAACGAGAAGUUUGGGCUUGGGUGAGCCUGAGUGCUGAAGAUAUCUACCUAUUCGGAACCAUGAUAACAGGGUUCUGGCUGAUCGGAGCUGGCUUGGCCCUGGCUUAUCGAAGAUUAAAGGAAGCGGAACCAGCUGUUCAAACCUCCACAAGGCUGUCCGCUGGGAUUGAAACGAUGGGAAGAGACGUGAGUUUCUCAAAAUGGGCUCAUUGAGUGCAGCACGGAUAAUACCUUGGAGAAGCUUACGGCUGCCGUGAAUACUCAGAAUAAGAUCUCUGAGUGCAAACUGGAUUACAUCUCGGAAGGGCUAGCUCGGAAAAACACCUCUGAGCGCAAAUUGGAAGACAUCUCGGGGAGGCACACUGUUGUGAGUUCUCAGAAUUGGCUCCUUGAGCACAAGAAUGACAACAUCACAGAACGCAAGUAUGGCGAAGCUCGCGGCUCUCCAACGGGAGGUUGAGAGACCAGUGUUGGACUGUAGAACUGCUUUGAAAUUCAUAUGAGUUGUUUGCACUAAAGUAAAAAGCACCAUCACUUCAUGCGGAUACCCUCUUGGCGCCAGCUGCGGUCGCAAGACUGGAGCCGAACAAAAAUACCCUGAUAACGACUGUGUUGUGACUGUUCUUCCCAUUCCAUGCAAGGCCACCUGGGUUGGCUGGAAGACUGUUUACUUAGCCUAGCAGGGCGAAGGACACUGUCUCAGCUGAACUCUGGACACGCACACACAUACAUAUACACUGAUAUGCACACACUCAUCCCCCCUCCCUUUCCAAACGCCUUCGACGCUUAUUCCCUUCCGAUGCUGACGGUGGAUCAUGGAGACCAGCGCAUAGGCUGCAGGCCCGGAUGUACUGUCUACAUCGGCUGUCUCUCACCCUUUACCCACCCCUGUUGCUUGUCAUGUGUUUCUUUGGUGUAUUAAGAGUUUUUUCAUGUGCUAUGUGCAGAGGUGUUUUUUUCUGUUCUCAAACUGAUCUCCCUGUUGGAGCUCAGUCUGGGGGGAGUUAUUUUUUCUCCUUAUCUUUCCUCAUGUGAUGCAUUUUCCAUUGUUAUACCUCUCUGACCUGUCUUCCCCAUGUGAUGUUUUGUGUAAUCUAUGUAUGGUCGGAGGGUAAGAUGGCGCCGCCAUUGCGUGCAAUAGGUCGGCAGCCUUAUGAAAUUUCCCCUUGUGGGACUAAUAAAGGUAUAUCAAUAUACUAUUUUGUAUGCGAACAGCUGGGUUACAUUUAAUAAAAAUACACCUAAUGUUGCUGACGCUCUUAAGACUACAAGAUAAGUAAAGCUAUAAAAAUGACAAAUUAAACUUAUUUUAUCUUGUAGCAUUUAAGAGAAAAAAUUAACC